CGCAUCUGUGCAUGCAGCAUAUCAAUAAGCGGAGGAAAAGAAACUAACAAGGAUUCCCUUAGUAACGGCGAGUGAAGCGGGAAGAGCUCAAAUUUGAAAUCUUCAAGGUUUUACCUUGACGAAUUGUAGCUUAAAGAAGUGUUUUCUGUUGAAGUUUUGGUAAAAGUUCUUUGGAAUAGGACAUCAUAGAGGGUGAGAAUCCCGUAUUUGACCAUUAUUUUCAGCUGUGUGAUACACUUUCAAAGAGUCGGAUUGUUUGGGAAUGCAGUCCAAAAUGGGUGGUAAAUUUCAUCUAAAGCUAAAUAUUGGCGAGAGACCGAUAGCGAACAAGUACCGUGAGGGAAAGAUGAAAAGAACUUUGAAAAGAGAGUUAAACAGUACGUGAAAUUGUCAAAAGGGAAGCGGUUGACACCAGUGUUGUUUUCUCGAAAAUCAAUUAAAAAGAGUUAGAUUUUGUUGUGUAUUGACCUCAACAGCUUGCAUUUCAAUUUUCUUGCUUUUUUUAAUGCACUUUUCGUUUAACAAGUCAACAUCAGUUUCUUUUGUUGUAAAAAGGUCAUUGGAAGGUGGCUUUCUUUUCGGAGAAAGUGUUUAUAGCCUUUGACUCCUGCAAUCGGAGAGACUGAGGUCUGCAGCGUAGAUCCUUCGGGGUUAGAUACAUUUGUGCUAAGUUAUAGCUUUUUAUAGACAACUUGUUGACUAUGAUUAGUCUUGCAGCUUACUCGCUUAUGCUAUUUUACCUACGCUUAGGAUGUUGACACACGCGCGUGCUCG
rnacentral:rRNA from 1 species